AAUUUUAGAUUCGGCGAUUUUAAGGGUUUAUGAUCACUUUCUUUUCUAGAAAAGCAAGAUUCGGUCUAAAUCUUAUCAUUUAACUCAAACCAAUCUAAUCAAUACAUAUUGGCUUUGAAUGGAUGUUGUAGUUAGUGCGGAUUAAUCCGUCAGCGGUCUAGUCCAUACUAAUUUUGGGGCGGAGAACAAACCAAUGCGGACUUAGUUUAAAGACAAUCCGCAGUUAGUUCGCAGUUAGUUUGCAUUGGUUUUGUUUUAUUUUUUUGGAUCCGUACCAUUACGACUAUAGUUUGUAAAUGGUAAAUAAAAAGCAAUCCGGUGUAUAGACGGUUUUGUCCGCUUGAACCGCUAUAACCAUUCAAAGCCAUUAUCAACAAUGGAGUACUUUGGAACCUACGAUUAGCGGCUGCGGCUCUACCCUAAACUCACCCGAAACUUUGAUAUGGUGAUACAUUACUCCUUAAUUCAUUUUAGAAAGUACAUUUAUAUAAAAAAAUCAUCUUACGUAUUCAAGAAUCGAAAAGGCAUGUUGC
rnacentral:sRNA from 1 species